UUGUUUUGUAUAUUUAUUUCUUUUUUUAGUUGGCGAUCUUUCUACUGCUACUUUUUCGUAAAUAUAUCGAUUUUUUUUUGAAUUUUUCUUUUAUACCUAUCUAAUUUGUCAAAAGUGAACACACCAAAAAAAGGGGAAUAAACUAACUUCGUGUAGUAGGUAGUUAAACAUACAUUUGGGUAAUUCAUUUUUAUGUGUGGAACUACUUUUGACUACUACAACUAGGUUUGACGUUUAUUUGACAUUAGCGUAUAGCUUAACUGAGGUAGGGCACAGCAGGAAUUUCUUGCUCAAAAUAUGGAGCAGCCCGACUGGGGUAGUACCUCGACCUUACAGAAGAUCACAGCUAAAUAAUACUGUUUUCAAGCAGUAUUGUGUUCCUGUUGGUGAGUAAGGUGACCAGAGCUCCUGGGGGAAUUGGGGAUUGGGUCGGCAACGCGCUUGCGAUGCUUCUGGUGUUGCAGGCGUCUAUAAGCUACGGUAAUCGCUUACCAUCAGGUGAGCCGUUCGCUUGUUUGCCGACCUAGUGACAUAUAA
rnacentral:misc_RNA from 1 species